rnacentral:tmRNA from 1 species
GGGAGGAAGUUUCUGAUGAGAAGUUGUUGCAAUUAUCGGUGAAAUGGAAAAAAAUAUAAAUUCUAAAACAAACAGAAACUGCGAGAUGGCUUUAGCAGCGUAAAUACGCUUUAAAGUACAAUAUUAAGACUUUCACGGUAAAAUAAUUGCCGCACGCCUCCCGAUUCAACCUGUGGUUUAGGGUUUCGGCGUUCAUUGAAGCAGGGAACCGUUCUGGGUAGGGUCUCGCACCCUUAACGAUCAAGAGGCUGGUUUCACUUUUUCUUUGUCAUUGGAGAAGAAGAGGAAUGAGAAAAUAAUUAAUGACUGCACUCGGAGAAGCUUCUGUGAAUGGAUUUUCGGACGUGGGUUCGACUCCCACCGCCUCCACCA